UCCGGCGUCCUGAGCGAGAUGGUCCCACCCGUUCCCAUCCCGAACACGGAAGUGAAACGUCUCAGCGCCGACGAUACUGUGAGGGCAACCUUACGGGAAAAUAGGUCGAUGCCGGGA
rnacentral:rRNA from 1 species